rnacentral:lncRNA from 1 species
AGGAUAAGAGCACCUCUGUUGUAGUAGGAAAGGGUGGUGUCAACGUUGAUGCAGGAAAAGGAAAGCCCGGAGGCACCCAUGUCGAUGUUGGGAAGGGUACUGGAGUGCAUGUGGAAGCCGGAAAAGGAAAGCCAGGCGGUGGCACUAACGUGAACGUAGGAGGCAAAGGCGGUACUGGGGUGAACACCGGGAAGGGAACCAACGUUGGUGUUGGCAAAGGAGGAGUGUCCGUAAACACAGGGCACAAGGGAAAGCCCGUGUAUGUUGGAGUAAAACCAGGACCAGACCCUUUUAACUACCAGUAUGCAGCCACCGAAACCCAACUCCAUCAAGACCCAAACGUUGCUAUUUUCUUCUUGGAGAAAGACAUGCGUCCUGGAACAACAAUGAACUUGCACUUCACCACAAAUUCAAACACGCAAACUUUUGUGCCGCGCGAAACUGCGGAAUCCAUCCCAUUUUCGUCCAACAAGCUGCCAGAAAUCUUCAACCAAUUUUCAGUGAAAUCGGGUUCCGUGGAAGCGGAUAUAAUCAAGGGUACAAUUCAAGAGUGUGAGAAUCCAGCCAUUAGAGGAGAGGAGAAAUAUUGUGCUACCUCUUUGGAGUCCAUGAUUGACUUUAGCACUUCUAAGCUUGGAGGAGGAAAUGUUCGAGCAAUUUCGACAGAAGCCGGAAAAGGAGCUACAUUGCAGAAGUACACAAUAACUUCUGGAGUGAAGAAGUUGGCGGCGGAUAAGUCGGUCGUGUGUCACAAGCAGAACUAUCCCUAUGCUGUCUUUUACUGCCAUGCAACAAAAACAACAAGAGCUUAUGUGGUGCCCCUGAAAGGUGCUGAUGGGGUGAAUGUUAAAGCAGUAGCAGUCUGCCAUACAGACACAUCGGAGUGGAACCCUAAUCAUUUGGCCUUCCAAGUUCUCAAAGUUAAGCCGGGAACUGUUCCGGUCUGCCAUUUCCUUCCCAGUGAUCAUGUUGUCUGGGUUCCAAACCAGAAAUCUACCUGAUUUGACUGAUCAACCCUUGAGUUCUACGUAUGAUGAUGUGAUCAGCUCAAUCAGCAUAGUUUGAGUGGCAAGAGUUUGAAAUUAAAUCGACCGUCGAUUACUUCUUAUUGUCACUAUGUAUUUCAGCCUAUAUAUAUACUCAUAAAUGAAAGCAUACUAUCGUGUGGACUUGUACCAAAAAGCAUG